GUGUUCUGCUUGCUUUUGUUUUAGUUAUUAAAAUAUAUUUCUCUUAGUUGAUUAAUAGUUCAAAUUGUGUAGUCUGGUUAGAUAAUAUUUCUAUCGUGGGUAGGCUUGAAUCAAAUACGGUGGUACUGAUUUUUUUUUAAAAGUUGAAGAUUAGAUAAAUUGAUCAUAAUGUUGCUUUAGUGAUAAGCAUCCUCCACUUCCAACCAAGAGAUUGUGAGUUCGAGUCACUCCA
rnacentral:lncRNA from 1 species